rnacentral:tRNA from 4 species
GCGGAUGUGGCGGAACUGGUAGACGCCCUGGAUUUAGGUUCCAGUGCCGAGAGGCGUGUAGGUUCGACUCCUAUCAUCCGCA